AGAGUAAGUAUGAGCCAAGGAUGACUUGCCUGACCUAAUUUUGAUCUUCAACCAUGAAAUCAACCCAUUUUCUUUUCAAAUCUCUGUUUGGGAAGUCAUCCUUGGCUCAUUUUUCCUCUCU
rfam:Cucumis sativus cultivar 9930 chromosome 1, whole genome shotgun sequence.